AUGAAAAGUUAAGGGUUCAUUCAGCUGUCCAGAUGUAUCCAAGUACCUUGUGUAAUUUGGCAAUAAAUACAUCUGGGCAACUGACUGAACUUUUCGCUUUUCAC
rnacentral:pre_miRNA from 1 species